UAUUACAAUAAAAACUCAUAAACUUCAAAUACUGAAUCCGCUUCUGACCCAUAAUUCCUGGCAAAGUCAACAUCACUUUGGGACAGGUAGAGCUUGUCUGUCUUUUUCUCCUUGCAAUUGUUGUUGUUUACUCUAUUCAAUGGGGAGAACGCGUGCAGUGUCCCAUAGCAUCGAUCGAUAUCAAUCUCUAAGUGAUGGUGAGAGCUUAGUUACUGAAGGAGGAACAUUUGGACUGAGUUUCUUUAGUCCAGGCAGUUCAGCGGACGGGUACUUAGGCAUUUGGUAUAAGAGUAUCCCAUCAGAACUGUCGUUUGGUUUGGUUUCCAAAUGGUGGCCAGGACUUCUACAUACGGAUCGAGGCUUCAAAACAAGCUAAGAGGCAUGUGGUUAAAGCAGUCAUAAGUAGUCUAACUACAGUUGGCUGUGCUUUCUGUGUUGGUUCUCGUCUCCUACUAUCUUUCUCGGAGGAAGAAGAAGGAUAAAGGCUAAUGCGUCUCCCACCAUUGCCAAAUGCUUGCUCCAUAAUAGCAAGUGAUUGCUCCAUUAGUUAGCAGCCUGGCGCUCCACUAAAUGAGUGGCAGCGGGUCCGUGUUUAGCAGCUAACUGCACUAUAAAUAGAUGGUGCAAGCAGCUUGUUGAAGACACACAGAAAGAAAUCGUUCCUCUUCAAUUUACACAACUAUUGAUAAUCCUCUUCAGUAAGAACUCAACAUCGGCUAUACAUUGCAUUCUUUCCUCUCAGAAUUUCUAUUCGACUUCUGAGUUCUCCUCCUUUGUUGUGCAUUGUCUUAAACUACAAACAAAGCAACUGUAAGUGUGAUUUGCU